GAUCCGGCUAGAGGGGAGGCUCCGACGUUUCCUUCCUUCCUGGUUCCUGCAGCAACUGCUGCCACUGCUCAGCUCCGUGAGGAGGGAGCCGGUGACUCGGAGCCGGUGACUCAGAAGCAGAGCGGCGUGAGGGCCAAGGAGCACUGGCGUCCAUGGACCCUGGGGGAGUAGCCUCUCCCUUCUCCAUGGACUUCCAAGACAGGGGCUCUCCCUUCCUGCCUGAGAGCGCUCAGUCCACAAAGCCCAGCAGUGCUCAGCAGGCCUCUGAGCUGUGGGAGGUGGUGGAGGAGCCUCAGGGCAGGCUGGGGACAGAGGGUGUCAUGCCUGAGAGGCAGGAGGGCCACCUGCUCAAGAAGAGGAAGUGGCCUCUGAAGGGCUGGCACAAGAGAUACUUUGUGCUCGAGGACGGGAUUCUUCACUAUGCAACAACCCGGCAAGAUAUCACCAAGGGGAAGCUUCAUGGCUCCAUCGAUGUCCGGCUGUCGGUCAUGUCCAUCAACAAAAAGGCCCAACGCAUUGACCUUGACACUGAAGAUAACAUCUACCACCUCAAGCCCUCGCCUGCUCCAUCACUUCUGCAGAUCAAAUCCCAGGACCUAUUCCAGAGCUGGGUGGCCCAGCUGCGUGCCCACCGCCUGGCCCACCGACUGGACAUGCCCCGUAGCACACUGCCCAGUACCACUCACCGGAAGGUUCCUGGUGCCCAGCUUCCAACAGCAGCUAGUGCCUCAGCCCUACCUGGGCUUGGACCGAGAGAGAAGGUGUCUUCCUGGCUGAGGGACAGUGACGGGCUGGACCGCUGCUCUCAUGAGCUCUCUGAGUGUCAGGGGAAGCUCCAGGAACUACACAGGCUCCUCCAGAGCCUGGAGUCCCUGCACCGAAUCCCUUCAGCCCCUGUUAUCCCCACACACCAGGCCUCAGUGACAACCGAAAGACCCAAGAAGGGGAAACGGACCAGCCGCAUGUGGUGCACCCAGAGUUUUGCCAAGGAUGACACCAUUGGACGGGUUGGUCGUCUCCACGGCUCUGUUCCCAACCUGUCUCGCUACUUGGAGUCUCGGGACUCCUCGGGCACCCGUGGGCUGCCACCCACAGACUACGCCCACCUUCAGCGCAGCUUCUGGGCCCUGGCUCAGAAGGUGCACAGCUCCCUCAGCAGCGUCCUGGCCGCCCUUACCACUGAACGGGACCGACUAAGGGACAUGCACCAGGGCUCAGAGUUGUCAAGGAUGGGGGUCUCCGAGGUCCCCACUAGCCAGCGGCGCCUCCACUCACUGUCCACCUCCUCCGACACCACAGCAGACUCUUUCAGCUCCCUCAACCCUGAGGAGCAAGAAGCUCUGUACAUGAAGGGGCGCGAGCUCACCCCGCAGCUGUCACAGAGCAGCAUCCUGUCCCUUGCUGAUUCCCACACGGAGUUCUUCGAUGCCUGUGAGGUUCUCCUCUCCGCCAGCUCUUCUGAGAAUGAGGGCUCAGAAGAGGAGGAGUCGUGCACCAGUGAAAUCACCACUAGCCUGUCUGAGGAGGUGCUGGAUCUCAGGGGAGCUGAGCGCUGUCAGAAAGUGGGGUGUGUUCCAGGAAGACCCAUGGGGCCACCCCGCCGUCGCUGCCUGCCUGCGGCCAGUGGGCCUGGGGCUGACGUGAGCCUGUGGAACAUUCUGCGCAACAACAUCGGCAAAGACCUGUCCAAGGUGUCCAUGCCUGUGCAGCUCAAUGAGCCACUCAACACGCUGCAGCGGCUCUGCGAGGAGCUGGAGUACAGCAGCCUCCUGGACCAGGCCAGCCGCAUCGCUGACCCCUGCGAGCGCAUGGUGUACAUCGCAGCCUUUGCUGUCUCAGCCUACUCCUCCACAUACCACCGAGCCGGCUGCAAGCCCUUCAACCCCGUCCUGGGGGAGACCUACGAGUGUGAACGGCCUGACCGAGGCUUCCGCUUCAUCAGCGAGCAGGUCUCCCACCACCCCCCUAUCUCGGCCUGCCAUGCGGAGUCUGAGAACUUCACCUUCUGGCAAGACAUGAAGUGGAAGAACAAGUUCUGGGGCAAAUCCCUGGAGAUUGUGCCUGUGGGGACAGUCAACGUCAGCCUGCCCAGGUUUGGGGACCACUUUGAGUGGAACAAGGUGACGUCCUGCAUUCACAACGUCCUGAGCGGCCAGCGCUGGAUCGAGCACUAUGGGGAGGUGCUCAUCCGAAACACACAGGACAGCUCCUGCCACUGCAAGAUCACCUUCUGCAAGGCCAAGUACUGGAGUUCCAAUGUCCACGAGGUGCAGGGUGCUGUGCUCAGUCGGAGCGGCCGUGUCCUCCACCGACUCUUUGGGAAGUGGCACGAGGGGCUGUACCGGGGACCCACACCGGGCGGCCAGUGCAUCUGGAAACCCACCCCUUGCCUUCCCCCAGACUCAAUGCCCCCUGACCAUGAGCGAAACUUCGGCUUCACCCAGUUUGCCCUGGAACUGAAUGAGCUGACAGCAGAGCUGAAACGGUCGCUGCCUUCCACUGACACGAGGCUCCGGCCAGACCAGAGGUACCUGGAGGAGGGGAACAUACAGGCCGCUGAGGCCCAGAAGAGAAGGAUCGAGCAGCUGCAGCGGGACAGGCGCAAAGUCAUGGAGGAGAACAACAUCGUCCACCAGGCUCGCUUCUUCAGGCGGCAAACAGACAGCAGUGGGAAGGAAUGGUGGGUGACCAACAAUACCUACUGGAGGCUGCGGGCCGAGCCAGGCUACGGGAACAUGGAUGGGGCCGUGCUCUGGUAGCCCUGGCCCCGGGGGCAGGAGGCUCUGGUUACUCGCUACUCCUGCCUCCUCCCCCUACCACGGACACAUGGGUGAGGCCAGGCUCCCCCCCUCACUGCCCUUGAGACCAAAGGGGCAGCCCUGGCCCUCUCUCCCCUCUGCUGGCCAGAGGGGCUGCAUCUCAGCCCACCCCGCACCCCACUGUUUGGGGUGAGAAGCAGAAUCUAUCUUCCCCAAUCUCCUUGCCCCAAUCAGCAUGUGAGACCAUUCCUGCUUCACCAUUUCCCUUCCUGUCCCCUUUGGGGUGCUUGGGGAAGACUCCAGCUCCCAGGAUCUGUUCCCCAUUUCAGUGCCUUCCUAGGAUGCAGGGGACCUCUUGAUGCUCCCCAGGCUUUCUGUGCCCAGGGCGCGUCCCCGGCAGUGAGGUUGCAGUGAGUGAAGGAGAGGAGAUGUUCUCCCCUCCCCUUCCCUUGCCCAUCUCCAGCAUCUGCUUCCCCUUCCCUGGCCCCGCAGGGCCUUCUCCAGCUCCUUUUGGUUGGUCCCUGGCCAUCCCUCCUGUCCUGGAUCCCUUCUCCCUAACUGCAAAAUGCCUCCAGCUUCCAGAUCCUUCAUCCCUGAUCCUCAAGUGGUUCCCUCCUGUCUCAGCUCAGCGGAUUCCCCCAGAGUGGAGGAGGCCUCUCCAUGAGGAGGGGAGCAGCCCGAGGUACCUGGCCUCCGACCCACCGGCAGCGAGUGCGCAGGUGUGAGUUCUGCCUCUGAUGAGGGUGAAUUGCUAUGACAUUCCAAGCUCCAAUAAAGACUGUCCCAGACUUUGGCCUGUGACCAUUCAUUGAGUGAAAAACACAUGUGCUCAAGACGUACGCAAGGGAAGACAAGCGUGUGAAACAGACACACGGGAGUUGGCCACGUGGAGACGUAGGCAGAGACGGGAGUGAGGCGUCUGCGAGCCGGGAGUGCCAGGGCUGCUGGCAGCCGCCUGAAGCUUGGAGAGAGGCGGAGAGAGAUUCUCCCACUGAGCCUCAAGGAGGAGCCAACCCUGCUGACACCUUGAUUCCAGACUCCUGGCCUCAGCUAUGACAGAAUACAUUCCUGUUGUUGUAAGUCACCCAAUAUGUGGCGCACUGUUACAGCAGCCUGAGGAACUGAAUACAGCCACCACCAGCCUGAGCCAAAAGCCGAGUUCAUCUUCCCUCCUGCUUGAUCCUGUGACUUCAAUCCCAGGGGUCUCUCUGCGCUGGCCUCUUCUCUCCAUUGCACUGGCUAGGCUGAGCCCUCAUCAGUGCUUGCCUGGACUAUUGGCGGUGGCCUCCAGG